rnacentral:rRNA from 1 species
GGAUAACCUACCCUUAGGACUGGGAUAACCCUGGGAAACUGGGGAUAAUACCGGAUAGGCAAUUUUUCCUGUAAUGGUUUUUUGUUUAAAUGUUUUUUCGCCUAAGGAUGGGUCUGCGGCCGAUUAGGUAGUUGGUUAGGUAAUGGCUUACCAAGCCGUUGAUCGGUACGGGUUGUGAGAGCAAGAGCCCGGAGAUGGAACCUGAGACAAGAUUCCAGGCCCUACGGGGUGCAGCAGGCGCGAAACCUCCGCAAUGUGAGAAAUCGCGACGGGGGGAUCCCAAGUGCCAUUCUUAACGGGAUGGCUUUUCAUUAGUGUAAAGAGCUUUUGGAAUAAGGGCUGGGCAAGACCGGUGCCAGCCGCCGCGGUAACACCGGCAGCUCUAGUGGUAGCAGUUUUUAUUGGGCCUAAAGCGUCCGUAGCCGGUUUAAUAAGUCUCUGGUGAAAUCCUGUAGCUUAACUGUGGGAAUUGCUGGAGAUACUAUUAGACUUGAGACCGGGAGAGGUUAGAGGUACUCCCAGGGUAGAGGUGAAAUUCUGUAAUCCUGGGA